GUGCUCGCUUCAGCAACACACAUACUAACAACAUUGGAAUGAUACAGAGAAGAUUAGCAUAGCCCCUGCACAAAGAUGUCAGGUAAAUUUGUGAAGUGUUCCAUAUUUAA